GCAGGCCCUGGAGCUCUGUCAGGGCAGCAGCGUUUGGUUGUCCAUUAGCGCAAAAAAACAGUGACUUUGCAUCAGCUGUAAUUAUGUAAAUAUGAGGAAUCUGGAAGAACCUGAACCCAGCUGUGUGUCCAUGAAGAGUAACGAGUCUAUGGGUGAACCUCUAGUCUUCAAAGAUGGACGCCACUCUGAUGAUCAAACAGUGGACCAGGAGAGCUCAGAGGUUCCUAGUGGUCAGUCUGCCCAGC